UAUUGAGGAUCCAUUUUCGAACUG
rnacentral:sRNA from 1 species